GGGUUGUGAGGUUAAGCGACUAAGCGUACACGGUGGAUGCCCUGGCAGUCAGAGGCGAUGAAGGGCGUGCUAAUCUGCGAUAAGCGCCGGUAAGGUGAUAUGAACCGUUAUAACCGGCGAUACCCGAAUGGGGAAACCCAGUGUGACUCGUCACACUAUCAUUAACUGAAUCCAUAGGUUAAUGAGGCGAACCGGGGGAACUGAAACAUCUAAGUACCCCGAGGAAAAGAAAUCAACCGAGAUUCCCCCAGUAGCGGCGAGCGAACGGGGAGGAGCCCAGAGCCUGAAUCAGCAUGUGUGUUAGUGGAAGCGUCUGGAAAGGCGCGCGAUACAGGGUGACAGCCCCGUACACAAAAGCGCAUGUGCUGUGAGCUCGAUGAGUAGGGCGGGACACGUGGUAUCCUGUCUGAAUAUGGGGGGACCAUCCUCCAAGGCUAAAUACUCCUGACUGACCGAUAGUGAACCAGUACCGUGAGGGAAAGGCGAAAAGAACCCCGGCGAGGGGAGUGAAAAAGAACCUGAAACCGUGUACGUACAAGCAGUGGGAGCCCCACCACUAAGCCAGUGGUGAACUCCACAUACGCAUCCUUUGCUGAGGAUACGGUUAACGGAGCGAAAGCGACGUUCAACCUCAAAAGAAGCAGAGGGGGCUUAGUGGUGGGGUGACUGCGUACCUUUUGUAUAAUGGGUCAGCGACUUAUAUUCUGUAGCAAGGUUAACCGAAUAGGGGAGCCGGAGG
rnacentral:rRNA from 1 species